rnacentral:rRNA from 1 species
GAUGAACGCUGGCGGCGUGCCUAAUACAUGCAAGUCGAGCGAACUGAUUAGAAGCUUGCUUCUAUGACGUUAGCGGCGGACGGGUGAGUAACACGUGGGCAACCUGCCUGUAAGACUGGGAUAACUUCGGGAAACCGAAGCUAAUACCGGAUAGGAUCUUCUCCUUCAUGGGAGAUGAUUGAAAGAUGGUUUCGGCUAUCACUUACAGAUGGGCCCGCGGUGCAUUAGCUAGUUGGUGAGGUAACGGCUCACCAAGGCAACGAUGCAUAGCCGACCUGAGAGGGGGAUCGGCCACACUGGGACUGAGACACGGCCCAGACUCCUACGGGAGGCAGCAGUAGGGAAUCUUCCGCAAUGGACGAAAGUCUGACGGAGCAACGCCGCGUGAGUGAUGAAGGCUUUCGGGUCGUAAAACUCUGUUGUUAGGGAAGAACAAGUACAAGAGUAACUGCUUGUACCUUGACGGUACCUAACCAGAAAGCCACGGCUAACUACGUGCCAGCCGCCGCUGUAAGAC